rnacentral:lncRNA from 1 species
AAUUGUUUAAAGCUUAAUGACUCCAAAACUGAAAUUGUUGUAUUUGGUAACUCAUGUGAUGCCACUGCUCUGGGCCCUUUGAAUAUCUAUUGUCACGAGUCUGCUAGGAAUCUUGGGGUUGUUUUGGACAGUUCAUUUAAAUUUGACAGACAAAUAAGUUCAGUCGUCAAAAAUAGCUUUUUUCAGCUGCGUUUGCUCAGCAAAAUCAAACCCUAUUUGCCUCAUGGUGACCUGGAGCGUGUCAUUCAUGCUUUUAUUACGUGUCGCUUAGAUUAUUGUAACUCUCUGUACUGUGGGCUCGAUCAAACGUCCAUCCGUCGUCUGCAGUUGGUUCAAAACGCAGCGGCGCGUUUGCUCACAGGAACGAGGAAAUGUGAGCACAUAACUCCUGUGUUGGCCUCUCUGCACUGGCUUCCAGUCAGCUUUAGGAUUCAAUUCAAGAUACUGUUGAUGGUUUUUAAAUGCCUGAAUGGGUCGGCUCCAUCUUACCUUUCGGAGCUUUUGUUGAUCCAUGAUCCAGGUCGUACAUUGAGAUCCUCCAAUCAAAUGACUCUGGAGGUGCCAAUAGCUAAGCGUGAAACCAGAGGAGACCGGGCUUUUGCCGUAGCGGCUCCGAGACUCUGGAACAGCCUUCCGCUAAAUGUCAAAAUGGCCCAGUCCAUUCAUGUUUUUAAGUCGUUGUUGAAAACUCAUCUUUUUGCUUUGGCCUUCAACACAAGCUGAGCAGAUCCCAUGUAUUUUAUUAUUAUUGUUUCAUGUUGUAUAUUUUGUGACUGUUUUUACUCUUCAAUUGUACUUUAUAAUGUUUGUUGUACAGCACUUUGGGCGGUUGUGGAUGUUUUUAAGUGUGCUAUAUAAAUAAAGUUGACAUUGACAUUGACAUUGACAUCAUUCAAACAGCUUUUUCCCACAACAUUCCCCCGUUGGGACUCUAUUGAGUUCCACACAAACUAUCCAAAACAAAAAGCUGGAUAAAUGUUUACAAGGCACACAAAACUUGCAUAAACUGUGUAGACCCAUACAA